CCCCCAUAUUUUAUUCAAGAUGGCACCCCAGCAACCCUGUUAUUAGGGAGUGGGGCCGGCACUAAUUUCUCACCCAUGCGCAGUGAUCCCAUGUUGAAAACAAACCCAUUUGUAUCCACUGUAUUAAUGCGCCAAGGGACUAUUUUAUGUGUCCUUCUGACUGACAGGUGGUGGAAGGAGCGAGCCAGAGUCUAGUGAGUGAGACUGUCCCUGGCUAUAAUACUGGUUUUAGCCCUCUCACGGGUCAGAGCUGAAGUCUCACUGAAGUUGUUAUUUACAACUUUAAAAAGAGAUACAACAAAUGUUCCCUUGUUAUCUCCAUAGUUGGCAAUUUUCAAUGUUGCUUGUAGAUAGAUAGAUAGAUAGAUAGAUAGAUAGAUAGAUAGAUAGAAAACUCAUAAAAAACACCAAGAUGAAGAUUUUAAAGAGAAUCAAGAAAAGCAGAUACGCCUGAUGACUAGAAAGCCAAGGGAAAACGAAGAUACGUGAAGGAACGUGAGGGGCGAAAUCAAGUUUAUUUCCCUUUCGACCAACAAGUCUUUGGAUGUACAAAGGAGCAGAGGAAAGGGUAGGUGGAUAUGAAGAAUAAUUGCAGAAAAUAGAAGGCUUUUCUUUUAAAAGGCAACUGCAGAAGCCAUUUCAUAAAAAGAAGUUUGGCGUUUCUGUUGCUGAAGUUCUUAUUAUCAUUAUUUAUUGAAUUUCUAUGCCGCCCUAUACCCGAAGGUCUAAGGGCAGUUCACAUAAAAUAUCAACUACACCAAAUCAAAACAAGAACGACCCAAGAACAGGUUCCCAGAGCAGAGACACCAAGGGUCAGGCUACCCCUGUCCAGAGAGGGGCGUAGCUGGGCCACCAGCCGAAGCUGAUGGAGGGCACUGGGGGUCACUGAGCGCCUCCCCUUGUCUCUCGACAGAGGUGCAGGGCGACCAAGGCCUAAACCCUGAUGGAAAUGGAUCCAGAAAAGCAGCUUCUUCCAAGGGCCCCUGGAUCUGGUCUGCGACCACUCGCUCCAGAAGACUCGCUCCAGAAGUUGGAAAAACCAAGACGGGUAAGAUUUUAACACAGGUAAGACUUAGAAGUGAGAAGGGUAGGGGGAUCCAGGGGGAGAAGACAACAUUGUUCCAUUUAAUUUCAUGUUAGCUCAGGCUGCCCUGUUGACAAAAAUGCUUUGCAGCCAUUUUGUGAUAGCUUCUAGGGGACUAUAGAAAAGCUCCUUUGCUAAUGGGAAGAACUUCCUUUCAUUUAUAAUGUGGCUUCCAAGGAGAAGAAUAACAAACCCUCUUGAACAGCUGCUUAAAAGUGGUGGCAUUUGGCACAUGAAGCUAAACAAAUUGUACUUACUGCAGAAGAGGGUCACCAAAAUAUUGUUGAGUUUUGGUUCCUUCAGGUGUGUAUAAAUCCAGAAGGUUCCAAACAUGCCAGCAUUUUGCAUCCUUGCCAGUAAUUCUGUUCCUAAGUGUAUUUAGGUAUUUAGAAUACCCAUUUUAAAAGCUGAUGCAUCAAACUGCUUCCUUUGUCUGUAACAGUUGCCUUGCUGAUUUCAGUGUGAAAAAGCAAAUAAGGCAUUUUGAGGGUGAAUCUACUGAUGGCAAUGGGAGAGGCGGCCUGGUAGAGGCCUUGGAGUGAGUAGAGGUUUUCACCAUUUUGCCGGCCAUUUCUAAGCAAAAAAAGUCCAGCAAACGUUUAAGCACAAACAUAUUCACAAUUAGGAAGGAUGAGCCAUGACCAUUUUUUCCUGUACAUAAAGGGCAGAAUUCUUUUCUGCUAAUGGUAAGGCUGAAAUGACUGAGAAAAUUUUUGAAAUCUUAUGAAUCCUGACUCUCUGGCCAUUUUUACUCAUACAUAAGGGGGUGGCUGAUUGUUCCACUAAUGACCAGAGCGGGGCCACACAAAAUCAUAUUAACCCACAUUUGUGAAACAUUUUGGAAUAGGGGUCUGUACCCUUCAAUCCUGUAGAUAAAGGAGGCAUGUAGCUCCCAAUUUUCUUUGCCUGGGGUACAUGUAUGAUUGUUUAAUGCAAGGAACGUGAUCCAUAAAUGCUGAGACUAUUCAAAAUUUAAUUUGACCCAAAUUGUAUUGCUGACUUUUUGGUGAAAACUUGCACGAUAGGGUUGAUAGUUGCUGGGUUUCCAACAAAUACUAAAAUCAGGAUCCUCGCCAGUUCAUCUGUUCCUAAGGCAAUAUAUUUAAAACCUGGUGUGGCAAACUGCUUCCUUUGCCUGUAACCUCUCACUUGGUUACUUUCAACUGCAAUCGUAGCUUCUAUUAAAAAUACUUUUGAAUUCUCAGAGGUGGCGAUAGGCACUAAUAACUAACAAGUAAUCUCUAAAUGCUCCAUCGUAAGUAUAGCAGCAAUACAGCUGUGUGUCUUCUGGCUGAAGGUCAACUAGGUGAGUAUCUUGUGCUUGGCUGAGGAGAAAAUCUCUGUUGUGUUCUGCCUGCAACUCUUUGUACAAAGAUUCUUUCAGGUCGCAGUGAGGGGGACCAUUCAAGCACCCUGAGCCUGUUGGAGAAAAGGUAGGCUCUAAAUGGAAUCAUACAUCAAAUAUGCAAACUAAAUACUCCAAAGAGCUUGUAUUGAGCAAUGUUGGUUAUUCAUUCCCUUUCUCAGAAGAGCUGCAAACUCAAAAGCCUAAUGCGGUCGCUCUCCAUGCUUCUACCUGGAGGGACUUCUCUUGUCGGGACACCACUGCAGGGGAGGCCCUUUCCUGUGCCAUCACCACACAAUAAGGUACAUCUUUGGGUGGGACAGCCAGCCUUGUUUUGUUCCAGCUCUUAUUUUUACAGACCUCACAGAGCUACCUGUGCCGGAAGCAAAUCUGCUCCAUUGACAAGUAAGAGGCAGGGUCAGAGCUCUUGAUCCAUCAAGUGAACAUCUGCAGUGCAGGAUUGAGAGACACCUGCGACUUGACUGCGCUGCUUUAGGUAACCAGCUGUUUUUGCUCCUGUGUUGGAGGGGAGGGCUGCUGAAGACCCUAGUCUCUUCCAGGUGCAUCUCAGUGACACAAGAAAUAGAAUUUUGCAAGCCUUCAGGAAACUUAACAGCAAGUGAACUUCACACUCCAUAAUUCAGUGAUCUUUUUCAGUACAAUCCUUUUGUGCUGGCUUCUCCAUUUCCCGCUUGAUCUCUUCACAGUUCUGUCCCAGAGCCGACCACACUCAGGUGAAGCCAGCUCUUCCUGCAGAAGUCAGGUCAGUCAGAACAGCUGUGUUCCAAAAACGUUUCUCUGGAAUUGGCGGGAAAGGGCCGGGGACAAACUAAUGAGUCCAGAUUGCUUUUCACAGACCAGCGGAAGGAACUUCCAGGCCCAUGAAUUCGCACUUCGGAGGGACAAACAAAAAGGUGAGCAUAAAGGCAGAGUUUGAAGACUGGAACCAGUCUCUCUGUUCUGCCCUGCAAAUGAAUGGCAGUCAACAUGGCACUCUGUGACUUAAACACAUCUAGGUGAAUAUCCGUUGCUAAUGGCAAGGGAUAAAACCUCGAUUGUGUUCUGUCUGCAACUUCAUAAUUCUUAAGGGUUUUCUUUUUUCCUGAGAGAACAUUCUGUAUUCAGAGUGUUCUCUCAGGUUUUGCUUUUCACCUUGUUGCAUUGGCCAAAAAAAAGCAAAAGACGCUGGUGGUUGGCGCUCCUGGUUUCCAGGACGGGGUUCAAGCCCCUGCGGUGUCCCUGCUUACUUCCAAUGCAACCUCUCUCUCUCUCUUUAUCUAUCUCUCCCCCCCCCCCUUAAGAACUAAAUGAAGCAAGGUGCUCCUCUGAUGCGUCACUGGUGUGUCACAAGGUGGAUUACAUGGAUGCUUCCCAUCCUAGCACUCCUUGCCAUAGGGAACAAAAUACUUACUUCUUUUAUAUAUACUUUAUAUAUAUAAAAGACUGUCUCUUAUUUUUGCAUUGUUUAGAAAGUAACCUAAAUAUACAAACAAACGGAUCCCAUUUAGAUUAUUCAGAAUGUGGAAAAGGCCGGGUUGAAAGAGGAAAUGGCAUGACGUUCAGUCAUUAGCAUAAGAAGAAGAGCAAAUAUAAGAUGCUCAGGUGUCCUAUUUUACAGAAGGCAGUUGUCAGUUUUCAGGGCUGUCAGAGGCUUAAGAUGUGGACUGAUGACAGUUCUCUGUAUGAAGGUGUCCUCUAUUUGAAUGGCCGGGCAUUCCAGGUCUGGCUGAAAGCUACUGAAGGAAGAGCAGGAAGGAAGAGCAGGGGCACUGAAGUUGCCCAUCAACAGAUAGCACCUUGGCAGCAGACUAAGCACAACCACCUAGGCCACAGUCUUCUCCACUACAGUGAGAAUAUUCCCCUGUAGAAUUAUAGGGUGACCUAACACAUCAGUCAUACUCAAGGUAAUAUCAUAUAUCCAGCUAAGUCAUACUCAGAAUCAUUGAAAUCAGUGGGUCUAGUGACUAUGACUUAGUAGGAUACAAACAACUAUUAUUUUUUAAUUUGCAUCUACACACAGCAUAUGCAAAUUGGAGUCCAUUCCUUUGGCCAAGUGUCAGUGGCCACUCUAAGCAAACACGUGUCCAAUUUCUGCAAUUGGGGUUAUCUGGGAUGCGGGUGGCGCUGUGGGUUAAACCACAGAGCCUAGGGCUUGCCAAUUGGAAGGUCGGCGGUUUGAAUCCCCACAACGGGGUGAUCUCCUGUUGCUCGGUUCCUUCUCCUGCCAACCUAGGAGUUUGAAAGCACGUCAAAGUGCAAGUAGAUAAAUAGGCACCGCUCCGGUGGGAAGGUAAACGGCGUUUCUGUGCGCUGCUCUGGUUCGCCAGAAGCGGCUUAGUCAUGCUGGCCACAUGACCCGGAAGCUGUACGCCGGCUCCCUCGGCCUAUAGAGCGAGAUGAGUGCUGCAACCCCAGAGUCGGCCACAACUGGACCUAACUGUCAGGGGUACCUUUACCUUUAUGCUAACAGUAACACUUCGAACUCUGAGCACAGAUGUUACCUUCUGACAAGGCCUCACUCCUCCUUUUGUGUUUUAAUAGAUCUUUUAUAUUUAUAUACAGUUUUAAUUCUAAUAAUAUUUAAUUGUUUUUGAUUAUCACCCCCUCCUAUGCUUUUAGUUGUUCCAUCCUUAUUAAGAUGGAGGGCACAAGGAGAAGGGGACGACAGAGGAUGAGAUGGUUGGAUAGCGUCUUCGAAGCUACAAACAUGAGUCUGACCAAACUGCGGGAGGCAGUGGAAGACAGAAGUGCCUGGCUGGUCUGGUCCAGCGGGUCACGAAGAGUCGGACACGACUAAACGACUAAACAACAACAGCAACAACCUUUAUUUGUAGUGCUUAUUAGGGAAAAAGGCAGGGUAUAAAUAAAUAUCUAAUUAUCAUUAUUCUUUGGAUACACUUCAUACUGUUGCUUAAUGAUGUGAUCCAGAAAUGUAUCUGCCACGAGUGUGUGCGUUUCCAUUGGCUUCUUUGUUUUCAGUGUGAGCUUCAGUAUUUUUAUAUCCUGAAAUGUGGGAUAUAGGGCAGAAUUCACCUGAUGAGGCCUGUCAGCAGAAGCCCUAUUCAAUUAUUUCCACUCAGAAGGCCUCUUCCCCCCCUUGCAUUCCCACAUCCUCCAUUCUGUCUGGCAAGCCGAAAUGCAAGUUCAUGAGGGUGAUCAUGUUAGUGCAAUGUUUAAUUCCUUUCAUUAUUAUAAUAGUAAGUCCCACUUCCUUGCAAUUAAUUGCACAUGAGGUUGCAGCCUCAUGUGCAGCAUAAUAGAAGCACCUAAAAUGUUCUAAGAACUGUACAGAGAUUAAAAGAUAAGACAGGUUGUACCUGCAGGCUCACUACCUAUUUUAGACAAAAGAGAAAAAGCUGCAUCUGCCGAAACUCCUUCUAAACAACUGUGAAAAUGCAAGAUCCCAGCCCCUCUUUUGCAUCUGACCAGCCUUUGGAUGGAAGAGGCCAUGCUGAUUUUCCCCGUGUCAAAUAGAUGGUUAGUGUGAUGGAGGGAAGAGAGAAGAGCACACAUGAAUUUAGAACGAUGAUCCAAUAGGUUAUUAAAUUUACUCAUCUCAUGGGGGGUGGCGGCUGUUUCCUGGUUGUUUUUAAGGCUGCAGACAGACAUGAACUGUAGGUAAUUUGAGAGAUGCUUUGUUUCCCAUGGUCAACAUACACCUCCUUUCCUAUAAAACAGGUUUUAUAGGUUUUUCAAACAGUAUGAAAACUUGCUUAGCCAGAUUACACAUCACGUGCAGUCUAAAUUACAUAUAGACAAAGGCCAAAAAAAGACAUGUUCUCAGCAAACUGGUGUAAAUUUACCCAUGAAUGAAUUGGACAAUAACAUUUCUGCGUAGAAAUUUUAUGGAUUGUGUAGCAUGCUCUGUAACCAGAUUAUUUUAGACACCCUCGAAGAAACCUGUAAAAAACAUACUAAAUGGUAUCUGAAGUACUGUCUGGGGGGGAAAGCCCAAAUCCAUUUUCUCUUUGUUGGGAUUCUUUUGUUUGUAUUAUUGAUUGAUAAUUUUAUGUAUCAAUAUUUUUAAAAUGAAACAAAAAUAGCAAGAUAUAUAUAUCCAAAUAUACAUCAGUACAUGGGGCUGGAGGGAGAAACAGUGUGUUAAAGUGAGUCCAGAGGAGAAGCAAUGCAAAAUAUAGGUGUGUCUUGCAUUCUUAUACAGAGGAGUCUGAUUAUACAUACUGGCUGAGAUCUAAAAACCCACACAAUUAGUUCAACCCACCCCGGAGGGUUUGAUUUGUUGAAAACAGCCUCCCCACUUCACUUGGCAAAUAUGCUUGGAAACUGGGCAUUUCUAAAGCAGAUUGUGAAAUAACAUGAUGGGAGGGUGUGCUGUUUGAAGGCGGGGGAGAGUUUUAAUGUGUAACGCUUUAUCAUGUUUUCAUAUAUGUUGGAAGCCACCAAAAUGGCUUGGGCAACCCAGUCAGAUGGACGUGGUACAAAUAAAAUGAUGAUGGUGAUUAUCAUGUUAAAACCCCACUGGCCGUGCCCAAGAC